UAGCGUAAGUACAGGUGAAAUUUUCCUUGUAAAUCUUUAUGAAUAUCUUAGUUUGUUGUUCUAAUUAUGUAGUUUAUGCAAUGUUUCUUUUAAAUAAGUGACAUGAACAGCAUUUCUAAUAAUCGAAAACAUUCUGCAGUUUUCAUCGAGGAAAUUCGAAUUUGUGUAUCGACAAAUUAGAAUUAUUCCGUGAAAUUAUGAACAUAAACAAUAUGGUUUCGUAUAUUAUGAUCCAUCCGUUAAGAAUCAAGUUGUUUACAAUAGUUUCCUAAGAAUCUACGUAUUCUCAAGUGCAAAUUACUUUCAAACUUUUGGGAUGUAAAAACGGAGGGGGUGGACUUUAUCCUGUUAAUCUACAUACCGAUAGACUGUGCAUUAUAUUUUACAAUAUUUCAAUUUAUCAUUUAUUUACUUUUCUUCUCUUAGUACUAGGUUGCAGUGACUAGGUUGUACUGAACCAUCAACAAAACUCCAGAUCCAUGGCGCAUACAGUUUUAAGAUUGGUUAUAGAUCUACAGUAUCUCAGAUUGACACAUGCUGACAGGAGUCUAUGGCUAUGGGAACCAUUUAAGAAUGUGCAGGUGAAGGUGGUACACUUCAUUUCAAUCGCAUCUUUCGACAAGCGAAAGUCCAUGGCCUACCUGGAAAGAGUUUUUUGGCACCGAGACAACCUUUUUCCAAGGUCAAGGUCAAAGAUCAAAGGCCAGAACUUAUAUCAGCUGGAAAGACACCACAUUGGGUGAAAGAUCAAAGGCCAGAACUGAUGUUAGCUGGAAACAUACCACAUUGUGUGGAUUUGCAAGAUAUUUAAUCAAUGCACCAGUUUCAAGUUCAAAGGAUUGAUGUGGAAGUCUGGAUGUUUAGCUAUGCCAGUGGUUUCAUUUCCUGUGGAUAUUAUGUGGACAUUGAUGGCCAUUGGGUGCUUGGUGCAAUGCAAUAAUGACAUUUUGUAGACUGUAGAAUUCACUUGCAAAUUAUGACAAGAGAUUGCCUUGGAAGAACAAUCUGAGUUUAGCUAGUUUUAAUUUUUUUUAAAUCAGUAUAUUUUUUUCAAAAUUUGUAUGCUGAUGAGAGCCAUUAGAAUGCAUAAAUAUUUUUUAUCUUGACCUUUUUUGAACUCACUUUUCUCAAAUUUGUUUUGUAUAGAUUCAAAGAAACUUUCAGAUUGUCUUUUUUUCCCAUUUAAGCUAAAGACAGGAUACAAUAUCAACUGUGUCCAUUUUUUACCUUGACCUUUCAAGUGCCCUUUGAAUUUACAUGUAUUUUUUGUUGUAUAUUAAACUCAGUUUAUUCAGUCUUUUCAAACUUUUUUUUCA